CACGCCCUAAACGAUGAUCACUCGAUGUGUGCGAUAAACUGUACGCGUCCAAGCGAAAGCAUUAAGUGAUCCACCUGGGGAGUACGACCGCAAGGUUGAAACUCAAAGGAAUUGACGGGG
rnacentral:rRNA from 1 species